AGAGUUUGAUCAUGGCUCAGAACGAACGCUGGCGGCAGGCUUAACACAUGCAAGUCGAACGAUGUAGCAAUACAUAGUGGCGCACGGGUGAGUAACGCGUGGGAAUAUACCUUAUAGUGGGGAAUAACUUUGGGAAACUAAAGCUAAUACCGCAUACGCCCGAGAGGGGAAAGAUUUAUCGCUAUAAGAUUAGCCCGCGUGAGAUUAGGUAGUUGGUGGGGUAAUGGCCUACCAAGCCUACGAUCUCUAGCUGGUCUGAGAGGAUGAUCAGCCACACUGGAACUGAGACACGGUCCAGACUCCUACGGGAGGCAGCAGUGGGGAAUAUUGGGCAAUGGAGGAAACUCUGACCCAGCCAUGCCGCGUGAAUGAUGAAGGCCUUAGGGUUGUAAAGUUCUUUCGCCGAUGAAGAUAAUGACGGUAGUCGGAGAAGAAGCCCCGGCUAACUUCGUGCCAGCAGCCGCGGUAAUACGAAGGGGGCUAGCGUUGUUCGGAAUUACUGGGCGUAAAGCGAGCGUAGGUUGCUCGAUAAGUCAGUGGUGAAAGCCCAGAGCUCAACUCUGGAACUGCCAUUGAAACUGUCGAGCUGGAAUCUCAGAGGGGGUAGCGGAAUUCCAAAUGUAGGGGUGAAAUCCGUAGAUAUUUGGAGGAACACCGGUGGCGAAGGCGGCUACCUGGAUAAGUAUUGACACUGAGGCUCGAAAGCGUGGGGAUCAAACAGGAUUAGAUACCCUGGUAGUCC
rnacentral:rRNA from 1 species